AGAGUUUGAUCAUGGCUCAGAUUGAACGCUGGCGGCAGGCCUAACACAUGCAAGUCGAACGGUAACAGGAAGCAGCUUGCUGCUUUGCUGACGAGUGGCGGACGGGUGAGUAAUGUCUGGGAAACUGCCUGAUGGAGGGGGAUAACUACUGGAAACGGUAGCUAAUACCGCAUAACGUCGCAAGACCAAAGAGGGGGACCUUCGGGCCUCUUGCCAUCGGAUGUGCCCAGAUGGGAUUAGCUAGUAGGUGGGGUAACGGCUCACCUAGGCGACGAUCCCUAGCUGGUCUGAGAGGAUGACCAGCCACACUGGAACUGAGACACGGUCCAGACUCCUACGGGAGGCAGCAGUGGGGAAUAUUGCACAAUGGGCGCAAGCCUGAUGCAGCCAUGCCGCGUGUAUGAAGAAGGCCUUCGGGUUGUAAAGUACUUUCAGCGGGGAGGAAGGGAGUAAAGUUAAUACCUUUGCUCAUUGACGUUACCCGCAGAAGAAGCACCGGCUAACUCCGUGCCAGCAGCCGCGGUAAUACGGAGGGUGCAAGCGUUAAUCGGAAUUACUGGGCGUAAAGCGCACGCAGGCGGUUUGUUAAGUCAGAUGUGAAAUCCCCGGGCUCAACCUGGGAACUGCAUCUGAUACUGGCAAGCUUGAGUCUCGUAGAGGGGGGUAGAAUUCCAGGUGUAGCGGUGAAAUGCGUAGAGAUCUGGAGGAAUACCGGUGGCGAAGGCGGCCCCCUGGACGAAGACUGACGCUCAGGUGCGAAAGCGUGGGGAGCAAACAGGAUUAGAUACCCUGGUAGUCCACGCCGUAAACGAUGUCGACUUGGAGGUUGUGCCCUUGAGGCGUGGCUUCCGGAGCUAACGCGUUAAGUCGACCGCCUGGGGAGUACGGCCGCAAGGUUAAAACUCAAAUGAAUUGACGGGGGCCCGCACAAGCGGUGGAGCAUGUGACGGGGGCCCGCACAAGCGGUGGAGCAUGUGGUUUAAUUCGACGCACAAGCGGUGGAGCAUGUGGUUUAAUUCGAUGCAACGCGAAGAACCUUACCUGGUCUUGACAUCCACGGAAGUUUUCAGAGAUGAGAAUGUGCCUUCGGGAACCGUGAGACAGGUGCUGCAUGGCUGUCGUCAGCAGGUGCUGCAUGGCUGUCGUCAGCUCGUGUUGUGAAAUGUUGGGUUAAGUCCCGCAACGAGCGCAACCCUUAUCCUUUGUUGCCAGCGGUCCGGCCGGGAACUCAAAGGAGACUGCCAGUGAUAAACUGGAGGAAGGUGGGGAUGACGUCAAGUCAUCAUGGCCCUUACGACCAGGGCUACACACGUGCUACAAUGGCGCAUACAAAGAGAAGCGACCUCGCGAGAGCAAGCGGACCUCAUAAAGUGCGUCGUAGUCCGGAUUGGAGUCUGCAACUCGACUCCAUGAAGUCGGAAUCGCUAGUAAUCGUGGAUCAGAAUGCCACGGUGAAUACGUUCCCGGGCCUUGUACACACCGCCCGUCACACCAUGGGAGUGGGUUGCAAAAGAAGUAGGUAGCUUAACCUUCGGGAGGGCGCUUACCACUUUGUGAUUCAUGACUGGGGUGAAGUCGUAACAAGGUAACCGUAGGGGAACCUGCGGUUG
rnacentral:rRNA from 1 species